rnacentral:rRNA from 1 species
GACGAACGCUGGCGGCGUGCUUAACACAUGCAAGUCGAACGGAAAGGCCCUGCUUUUGUGGGUGCUCGAGUGGCGAACGGGUGAGUAACACGUGAGUAACCUGCCCUUGACUUUGGGAUAACUUCAGGAAACUGGGGCUAAUACCGGAUAGGAGCUCCUGCUGCCUGGUGGGGGUUGGAAAGUUUCGGCGGGUGGGGAUGGACUCGCGGCUUAUCAGCUUGUUGGUGGGGUAGUGGCUUACCAAGGCUUUGACGGGUAGCCGGCCUGAGAGGGUGACCGGCCACAUUGGGACUGAGAUACGGCCCAGACUCCUACGGGAGGCAGCAGUGGGGAAUAUUGCACAAUGGGCGGAAGCCUGAUGCAGCAACGCCGCGUGCGGGAUGACGGCCUUCGGGUUGUAAACCGCUUUCGCCUGUGACGAAGCGUGAGUGACGGUAAUGGGUAAAGAAGCACCGGCUAACUACGUG